AAAUCCCCGGGUUCACCCGGGGAACGCCAGUUGAUACUGCAGAAUUGGAGUCCGGGAGGGGGGAGGGGAAUUCUGGUGGGAGGGGUGAAAGGGGUAAUAUUCAGGAGGAACCCGGGGGGGGAAAGGGUUUUUUGGCUGAUAGACGGCCGUGAAGGUGCGAAAGCUAGGGGAGCGAACAGGAUUAGAUACCCCGGUAGUCCUAGCCGUAAACGAUGGGCACUAAGUAGAGGGGUUUU
rnacentral:rRNA from 1 species